UAAUAAAUUUCAAUUGGCAUUCUAUUGUUUAACAGUGCAAUUAAUCACAACUAAUUUUUUGAGUUAAUCGCUUGAGUUAACUGUGAUGAAUCGACAGCCCUAAUUCUAGUUAUAAUGAAAACAUUAAAAGAGAUGUUAGAGUCACCUGAAGUAGUGGUGGGGAAAGCUGCACGAUAUCAUAUGGGUAACUAGGCUGAGAAAACAAGGAAGUUACAUUCCAGUUGUGACCAAUUUUUUUCAUAGGAUAAAGCAGAGGGGUUACCUUUAUAAGGAGCUUGUGUUCAGAGUAAGGUGUUAACCUAGUAAACAACUUUAAAGCCAAAGCACAUAAUCUCUCAGGUCAACUUCUCACAUAGUGAACCCUUCCUAAAGGAGCCUGAGUUGAGUGUCUGAGAAAGGAUUUGAAGGUCUUGUUGGGUGAGACAAAGUCCCUAAAUAUACUUUUAUUUGGAGUUAGUUAAGGAUUUGUGUCUGUGGAGAAUUAGUUGAGUAGUUAUCUCUCAGAACAGAAUUACAAAGCAGCUGGAUUAGAAGAGGAUCUCUUGAGAUAAAUUAAAUGAUUUUCUUAAAUAGUUGCAAGAUUGCUGAUAAGUUUUUUGUUGUUGUGCUUGUUGGAUAGGAAACAACACCACUUUCAUUCUUUGUGAUCCCCAGGAAGAAAGGACUUCCACCAAUGCCUUUUUUUCCUAGAGAAGGAUCUCCUAAGAAGCUAGUAAAGCCCGGGCAUACUGUCUGUCGCAGUAACUCUGGUCCUUGUCAGCCUGUCACUACUGGAGUGGCUGUUCAUCUGUAAGCACAUUGCUGUCAGCCUUGCAGGAGACAGUUCCAUUACUGUAUGCUCCGGAAUAUGCACAGCUGUACAGAUGUGCAGAGGUGACUGUUUGAUGUCAUACCCUGUGAAGCCAGUGCAUCAGCAAUGAUACUACCCCAGGUUAAAUUCUUUAAAAACCGAAACAAUCAUGAAGUCCUCUGGAAUAAAAAAGAAUUUUGGAUCAGACUUGAAAAAUAUAUUUUUGCGAAGCAACAAGAAAAGAGUUUCCUCUAGCAAAAGUAGUGUUAAAGCACACACACACAUGCAUGCACACAUGCACAGAGGAAAAUGCACAUUAAAUAUGAAAAAGCAUUCCUUUAAGGCAGAAGAAAAACAGCCUGGCUACAAAUUAGCUCUCGGCCCCAUCAGGUGUGAAUCUCUCUUGUCAAUAAGUACCAAACUCCCUGAGAUAGAACCACAUGUUCAUGAAUUUUAUUUCUCUCCUGCUUAACUCCUAGUUUCACUCUCCCUUGUGGAUUUACUCAGGGAUGAUUUACAGUGGGAAAGGUGACAUUAAACACGUCAUUGAGCAUGCAAAGAUGCUGCACUCAAAGCAGCAUAUGCUUGACUUUGUUAAAAGAUGAAUGCUGUCAACUCCACAGUGCCCACCAAGAUCUGGCCUUCUUUUCCCCAACAGACUUUGAGGAGGAUUCAAAUACUGGCCUUGACACUGAGAGAAAUAAAAGUUAAUGUAUGCAUGACAUGAUUUCACUUGCAAUCUGAUUUAGCAAUGUCUUGUCUAGUUUGUCUCUGCUGUUGCCUUUCCUAAUUUACUCGUU